rnacentral:rRNA from 1 species
GCGACUUAGUGUAUCGAGCAAGCUUAAGCCGGUAGGUGUAGGCGCAGCGAAAGCGAGUCUGAACAGGGCGUUCAGUUCGAUGCAUUAGACCCGAAACCAAGUGAUCUAGCCAUGAGCAGGUUGAAGGUACGGUAACACGUACUGGAGGACCGAACCCAUAUCUGUUGCAAUAGAUCGGGAUGACUUGUGGCUAGGGGUGAAAGGCCAAUCAAACUUGGAGAUAGCUGGUUCUCCGCGAAAUCUAUUUAGGUAGAGCGUCGACCGAAUACCCCCGGGGGUAGAGCACUGGAUGGGCUAUGGGGACUCACCGUCUUACUGAUCCUAACCAAACUCCGAAUACCGGGGAGUACUAGUCGGCAGACACACGGCGGGUGCUAACGUCCGUCGUGGAGAGGGCAACAACCCUGACCACCAUCUAAGGUCCCUAAGUUAUGGCUAAGUGGGAAAGGAUGUGAGGAUCCCAAAACAACCAGGAUGUUGGCUUAGAAGCAGCCAUCAUUUAAAGAAAGCGUAACAGCUCACUGGUC